UUACGGCCAUAUCACGUUGAAACACCUGUUCUUGUACGAUCAGCAAAGUUAAGCAACGCCGAGACUAAUCUGUACCUAGAUGGGUGGUCGCUUGGUAAUACCAGGUGA